rnacentral:rRNA from 1 species
CUUCCGUAGGUGAACCUGCGGAAGGAUCAUUAUUGAAUACGAUUGGUACUGAUGCUGGCUCUUAACUGAGCAUGUGCUCGUCCAUCUAUUUAUCUUCUCUUGUGCACAUUUUGUAGUCUUGAACGUACCUCUCGCAGUAAAAUGCGGUUUGGGAGCUUGGGCGCAAGCCCUUCUCCUGCUUCUUCAAGGCUAUGUUUUCAUAUACACUAUAAAGUUACAGAAUGUCUUUUAACGAUUGCGCUUGUCGUAGUCAUUAAACCUAUACAACUUUCAGCAACGGAUCUCUUGGCUCUCCUAUCGAUGAAGAACGCAGCGAAAUGCGAUAAGUAAUGUGAAUUGCAGAAUUCAGUGAAUCAUCGAAUCUUUGAACGCACCUUGCGCCCUUUGGUAUUCCGAAGGGCAUGCCUGUUUGAGUGUCAUUAAAUUAUCAACCUUGCUCGCUUUUACCGGCUUGAGUUAGGCUUGGAUGUGAGGGCUUUGCUGGCUUCCUUCAGUGGAUGGUCUGCUCCCUUUAAAUGCAUUAGUGGGAUCUCUUGUGGACCGUCACUUGGUGUGAUAAUUAUCUAUGCCACUUUGACCUUGAAGCAAAACUUAUGGGAACCCGCUCAUAACCGUCUUCGGACAACUUUUGA